rnacentral:rRNA from 1 species
UACGAAGGUCCCAAGCGUUAUCCGGAUUUAUUGGGUUUAAAGGGUGCGUAGGCGGCUUAUUAAGUCAGUGGUGAAAGCCCCAAGCUUAACUUGGGAACUGCCAUUGAUACUGAUGAGCUUGAGUAGAUUUGAGGCGGGCGGAAUGUGUCGUGUAGCGGUGAAAUGCUUAGAUAUGACACAGAACACCAAUUGCGUAGGCAGCUCGCUAAACUCUUACUGACGCUGAGGCACGAAAGCAUGGGGAUCAAACGGG